rnacentral:rRNA from 1 species
GACAGAGGUCCCGAGCGUUAGGCGGAAUCACUGGGCUUAAAGCGUGUGUAGGCGGCUCUGUAAGUACCUUGUGAAAUCCCACGGCUCAACCGUGGAACUGCUUGGUAUACUGCGGAUCUUGAGCCACCUAGGGGCAACCGGAACAAGUGGUGGAGCGGUGAAAUGCGUAGAUAUCACUUGGAACGCCAAUGGUGAAAACAGGUUGCUGGGGGUGUGCUGACGCUGAGACACGAAAGCCAGGGGAGCAAACGGG